rnacentral:rRNA from 1 species
CCUACGGGGGCAGCAGUGGGGAAUAUUGGACAAUGGGCGAAAGCCUGAUCCAGCCAUGCCGCGUGUGUGAAGAAGGCCUUCGGGUUGUAAAGCACUUUCAGUGGGGAAGAAAGCCUUGGGGCUAAUACCCUCGAUGAAGGACAUCACCCACAGAAGAAGCACCGGCUAACUCCGUGCCAGCAGCCGCGGUAAUACGGAGGGUGCGAGCGUUAAUCGGAAUUACUGGGCGUAAAGCGCGCGUAGGCGGUCUGAUAAGCCGGUUGUGAAAGCCCCGGGCUCAACCUGGGAACGGCAUCCGGAACUGUCAGGCUUGCGUGCAGGAGCGGCAGGUAGAAUUCCCGGUGUAGCCGUGCAAUGCGUAGAGAACGGGAGGAAUACCAGUGGCGAAGGCGGCCUUCUGGACUGACACUGCCGCUGCGGUGCGAAAGCGUGGGUAGCAAACAGGAAUAAAUACCCGGGUAGUC